rnacentral:lncRNA from 1 species
UUUUUUUUUUUUUUUUUUUUUUUUUUUUUUUUAAGUAAUCUCUACAUCCAGCAUUGGGCUCAAACUCACAACCUUGAGACCAAGAGUUACGUGUUCUACUGACUGGGCCAGCCAGGUGCCUGACAAUUCUGAAUAUUCUUAUCACCACCAUUACCAUUAUCACCAUAACCACUACCAUUAACUUAGAGUGAAAUCCUCCCAUAGCAAAUCAUAACUUUAAAACAUGUCUGGGAUCCUGACCAAUCAGGGUGUGCCUCUUCUCUUCCUCCUUUGGGUGGUAACCAAGAGACAGAUGGGCAGAGUGAGGUGAAAUAUUUCCUGUUGCUGUAGCUCUAUCACUAAAUCUCUGGCUAUAUGAUCAGAAAUAAACUAGAGAAACAGAAAUUGAGAAUGGAGAAGACCUUACAGAACCAGAUGCAUUCUGGAUUUUCAGAGAUUCAGUCUGGGACUUAAUACCUCCAGGACUUUCCCUUCUACUCAUUCCAUCUCUCAUGUUUACUUCCUUCUGCUUGGCUUCACUCUCUCCUGUAACAGAUGGGCCUUUUGCACUGCAGAAAACAUAUCUGCCAGCAGCCUUGGGCUUAUAUCAUCCCAGUUAUCUUUCUCAGAAGAGGAUAUAUUUUCUCAGCUUCAUUUUGGAUUUUUCCAAGGAAAACUCUGAGUGACUUGAGUCAUUUACCUGUCCCUGGGCCAAGCAUUAUGGUCAAGAAGAGAAGUCUUCUCUGAUCCUGCCUAUGGUACAUGUCCACUUUUUGACCAGGGGGUAGGGUCUUAUAAUUGGCAACCUCACAAAACCCAUACGGGAUGCAUAGUGGGGGUAAUGCCCUUCUCCUGAAGAAGAGAAAGAUGUCAUUAAAAGAAAGAUGCUUCAAAUGUUCACCAAAGAUAGAUCAAAGAUAGCUAGCUUGAUGGGAAACUAGCUAAUUAGCUGAUGGUUACAUGUGUUAAUGAUCAUUAUAAGGUCUAAUAUUUAUUCUCAUUAUUUUUUUCCAAAAGAUUUAUUUUUGCUAUUCUCUUCUGUGCAAUUAUUCAAAUGUUUUAUAGAAUUGUCAUGUACCAAAAAAGAAAAGAAAAAUCUGUUGGUAUCUUUAUUAGAAUUGAUGACACCUAGGAGUAAUUUGGAAAGAGUAGACAUUUUUACAUUAGAUUUCCUGUUCAAGUAUAUAGCAUAGCUUUUCCACUUAUUCAAUCUUUUUUUCCAAUCUCCUAAAAGUUUCUGUAGGUCUUUUAUGUAAUAUAGGUGAUUAUUAGCAUAAUAGCUAAGAGUGGAACAGUCUUUGAUUAGCAAAAUAUCUUAACAGAACAGAGGUAGGGCUGCCACACACUGCUGUUCAAUCUGCGCAUGACACGAGCCCCGGGAGCCCCAUUUAUGUGGACUGACUAUGAUGUUGUGGUUUGACUAUAAUAUAGAUAGAUGUGGACUCCGUGAGGCCCCUGGAGCUAUGCAGUGAAGUCCCUCUGCGAAGAAGGGAAGAAUGUUGACGGGAGCCAAAGCAAUGAAUGAGAGGGAUGGCUAAGCUUCUCUGUAUGAGAACAUGAGAAAAUUCUUCUUUAGUUCUUGAGAGAGAAAAGGAUCAGAAAGGUAGGCAAAAAGAAGCUUAUGUGAUGGUGGAUGGAGGCCUAGUACAUAGAAGAAGAGACCGGUGAGACAUUUACAACAGAAUGUUCUAAAGGUUCAGUUGUUCAAAGUGGGAUGGCAGGUUUCUAUCUUCAGUAAAAUUUCUGCUACCUGAUACAAUCUUAUAUUUCAAAACCACUUUGGGUUGGAAGAGGGGAACAGAGCAGGUACUAUGUGCCCUGGCUUGCAUUAAAGUCACAGAGAGAUAAAAGAAUAGACACAAACAUGCAGAGAAUAGAAAGAAUUCAGGGAAUGGAGAUGGAAGGUUUGGGCCAAUCAUAUCUGGAACUUGGGAUUGCAGGGUGCGGGCGCCCUUGCCGAUGCCUACAUUGCAUGCAUGAAGACUCCAUACCACUCUAGGUGGUGUUCCAUAAAUUUUGGUGUUUUUCCUUGUCCCUCUAAGCGGGACCCUUUUUUUUCCUGCCAGUUUUUGCAGGUUACAGGAAUCUGUCUUUAUCUCUGUCUCUGUCUCUGUUAUCUAUUAUCUACGUAAGCACAUAUAAGAUAUAUGUAACAUAUAAUAUUAUAUGAAAUAAGGAAUAUUAAAAAGAUAUAUUAAGCCUUUUGGUGCUUUUUAUUUCUUCCUGCUGACCCAGCUUUUAUCGAGUAUCAUUUUUCCUUUAGACCAAAGAAUUUCUUUUGGUAUUUCUUAUGGUUUAGGUCAGCUGUCAGCAAAUUCUCUCUCAUCUUAUAUCUAUCUGAAAAUGUCUUUAUUUUGUAUUUCUUUUUAAAGAACCAUUAGAGUAUAGUAUAGGUUGACUUUACUUUUGGUAAUUUAAAGAUGUUGUGGUUUGACUAUAAUAUAGAUAUGUGUGUUUUCCUUGUAUUUAUCUUUCUUGUCAUUUGCUGAGCUUCUUGGUUCUGUUGAGUUAAUGUCUUUAAAAAUAUUUUGGAAAAUUACUGGAAACUCCCGACUCUUUCAUCUCUCUUUCUUGGGCUCCAAUUACAUGUUUUAGAUCAGUAGUAUUGUUCCAAAGGUCUUAGAUGUUGUAAUCUGUUUUUAUCUCUCUCUUCUCUUUGUGGUUUAGUUUGGGUAAUGUCUGUUGGCCCAAAUGUCUUCCAGUUCAGUGAUUAUUUACUAUGUCCAGACUGCUUUUAAGCCCAUGAAAUGAAUUCUUUGUAGUUAAUAUCAUAUCUUCAUUUUUAGCAUUUCAUUUUUUUAAAACUUUUUAUCUCUUUGCUGAAAUUUUUAAACUUUUUAUCUCUUUGCUGAAAUUCUCCAUAUGUUGUGGACUAAUUUCCCAUAUAUAUGGAAAAAAUGGUGUAUACAGACACAGACACACAGAGGCCACUCUGGUUUGCUUAUUUUAAGAUGACAGCCCACUUUCUACCAGUAAGAAAGGAUAGGACUCAGGCCCAAGGAUGUCUAAUUGGAUUGCCAAACCCAUAGAGAAAGUGCUUUAACUCAAUAUGAUGGAAAAUUUUAUUUUCAAAUAAGGAAAACAAUCUUUUUUCUUUCAGUGGUAAUUAUCACCAUGAGAUAACAGAGGCAUUUGGGCAUAGUACUUAAAUGGAUAGAGUUUUAAUUCAGGCAAAACUGGAGUUAAAUUCCUUGCUCUGCUGUUCAUGAGCCCUUCAGUCUUGAGCAAGUUAGAUAUUCCUCUAAGUCUCAGUUCUUCAUCAGUGAAAUGUGGAUAAUGACAAAAAUACCUUCUUCAUGGGGUUGCUGUGAGGUUUAAAUGUGAUCACACCUGGACAGUAAGUAGCACAGAGAGAUGCCCAGUUAAUGUGAGCUGUUUUCCUUCUCUUACAUCCUGUCUCACCAUAUCCCUUUCCCUCUAGGUUGAAACAGAGCAAAGAGAACCAGUUUUGUCGUGGUCAUUGAUAUACCUCUAGCAUCCAUCCCAUUGUAGGCACUCAAUAAAUACUUGUUGAAAGAAUAAAUUAAAAAGCUCUUCUCUGAGUAAGGCAACCCAAAAUGUUGGGCUCACCAAGGAUCAGACUUACCUUAAAACAAUAUUUUCAUUACCCAUCCAGAAACAGGAGGUGUUUUAUCAAAUAUAUUAAACUUCAAAGCCUCAAAAUGGUAUUGAAAUUCCUGGCUCACACACUUCAGGCUAUGUUGGGGGCAAAGAAGUGGCAAAUUCAUUUUAUUGACACACAGUCGGGGAACUUUCUGACCAUUUCCUUCAUUCCAUGAAUGAGAAUUGACAAUCACUGUAAGUCUUGGCUAAAUAUAUCAUCUGAUCAGGGGCACCUGGGUGGCACAGUUGGUUAAGCAGCCAACCUUUGGUUUCUGCUCAGGUUGUGAUCUCAGGGUUGAGAUCUCAGGAUCAUGAGUGUCAGGCUCCGAACUCAGAGGGGAGUCUGCUGCCUUUCUCCCUCACCCUCUCUGCCCCUCCCCUCACUUUCUUUCU